GAUGAACGCUAGCUACAGGCUUAACACAUGCAAGUCGAGGGACCGGCGCACGGGUGAGUAACACGUAUCUAACCGGCACUUUACUAGGAGAAAGCCAUUCGAAAGCAAGAAUAACACCAGAUCAAAAGGAUAGGGAUGAGUUCCAUUGGGUGGUGUGUAAGGUAAAGGCUCACCAAGCCUUCGAUGGGUAGGGGUUCGGAGAGGAAGGUCCCCCACAUCUGAACUGGGGCACGGACCAAAAUCCUACGGACGGCAGCAGUGAGGUGUAUUGGUCAAUGGGCCCUAGCCUGAACCAGCCAAGUAGCGGUAAGGAUGACGGCUUAUGGGUCGUAUACUUCUUUUAUAUAAGAAUAGGUAUUAUAUGAAUAAGGAUCGGCUAACUCCGUGCCAGCAGCCGCGGUAAUAC
rnacentral:rRNA from 1 species